AUUGAACGCUGGCGGCAGGCUUAACACAUGCAAGUCGAACGCCCCGCAAGGGGAGUGGCAGACGGGUGAGUAACGCGUGGGAAUCUACCUAGUUCUACGGAACAACAGUUGGAAACGACUGCUAAUACCGUAUACGCCCUACGGGGGAAAGAUUUAUCGGAAUUAGAUGAGCCCGCGUAAGAUUAGCUAGUUGGUGGGGUAAUGGCCUACCAAGGCGACGAUCUUUAGCUGGUCUGAGAGGAUGAUCAGCCACACUGGGACUGAGACACGGCCCAGACUCCUACGGGAGGCAGCAGUGGGGAAUAUUGGACAAUGGGCGCAAGCCUGAUCCAGCCAUGCCGCGUGAGUGAUGAAGGCCUUAGGGUUGUAAAGCUCUUUCAGUAGGGAAGAUAAUGACGGUACCUACAGAAGAAGCCCCGGCUAACUUCGUGCCAGCCGCCGCUGUAAUAC
rnacentral:rRNA from 1 species